GUGCUUGCUUCAGCAGUACAUAUACUAAAAUUGGAACGAUACAGAGAAGAUUAGCACAGCCCCUGUGAUUUAAAAAAAGAAAAAAUUUUA
rnacentral:snRNA from 1 species